rnacentral:rRNA from 1 species
UACGAAGGGGGCUAGCGUUGCUCGGAAUUACUGGGCGUAAAGCGCACGUAGGCGGAUCCUUAAGUCGGUGGUGAAAUCCUGAAGCUCAACUUCAGAACUGCCUUCGAUACUGGGGACCUUGAGUUCGGGAGAGGUGAGUGGAACUGCGAGUGUAGAGGUGAAAUUCGUAGAUAUUCGCAAGAACACCAGUGGCGAAGGCGGCUCACUGGCCCGAUACUGACGCUGAGGCGCGAAAGCGUGGGGAGCAAACAGG